rnacentral:lncRNA from 1 species
CUUGACAUUGCCUCACARCAGGCAUUGCAUUCACCCAGGAGAGAGACUGACAGCAGCAGUCCUCGGCAAGCCUUUAACCUGCAGCUGUGCUCUGCUCUAUGUAAGAGGCUUGAUUAGCUGCUAUUACAUUGCAUCAUGCCUGUCCAAAUAGGAACCUGAACCCUGCCAUUCAGCUUCAGAUUCCUGGUCUCGCUCUCUUUACUGCAAAAGCAUCAAUGGARAAACACGCCUUCUUCCGGCUCUGCAGCAGAGAAGCUAACAAGAUCUUUCAGAAGCUAGCACAUAUCAAGUCAAUAAAACAGACUUACUGGUUUACAGAAGUUUAUUGUUCAUUAAAGAAGCCUUUGUGCAAAAAAACAACAAAAAAAAAAUCAAGACAAUGUUCUUUAUAAAGCAACCACAUUUCCCCCCCCCAACACACAUUACUCAAGCAGGUCAGGUGCAACAUUCCACAGGAAGUGAGAAAACCAAAGAGAUUUCCUUGCAUCAGCAUACAGCUUCCCCAAUUCAUCUUGCCCUGAAGGCUGCUAACAGGAGUUAUUCAAUGCUAAAAACCAAGACAAUUAAAACUUUGCCAGCCUGUAAGAGCAAGGGUCAAUUCCACCCCCCACCCCACAAACCCACAUUAAAGAAUGCCAUCCAGUUUAAAAGACUGAAGACCAUGGCCUUCCUGGUGUGGUGUAACACAACCUGUACCUCUAGGGCAACAAUGCUAAAGAGAGCCCACUGCCUGUCUAGCAUAUCUACCCCAAUUAGGAUACACACCACUGGAAUCACCGGUUCUAGUAUGGGAAGAGUCACAACUCUAAGAUGGAGAAUCUGUGCACCACAGAUAGUAGAAGUUAGGGCCAUUUUAGUGGGAUGCUUUCUACUGCAUGUGUGUAAAGGUGGGUUGCCAGGUAGAUCAUCAGCAGAGACUGCUGAUGGUGACUCAGAGCAUUCCCAUUACUGCUUGGAAACUCUGGAUGUCAACACACCCCACAAGUCUCUACAGGGCCCGACAGUGGAACACCCAUGUUUCAACCAACUGGCCCAAGGAAAGAAAAAAAAGACAUGAUCCAAAUGUUGACUGAGGGUUUCCUUAGCUACAMCACCACCCCAAGUCCUAAGUGUGGYCACUCAAAUGCAAGUGUACUUUAUGUACCUGUUACUUUGAAAGUUGCUGGGYGCACAAGGUCCCCUCCUACAUUUGUAAAGCUUUGAGAAUUCCAGCCAAAGGGAGUCAGGGACUCAACAUUACCCCUUAGAGUUCCCCUACAGUUACACAGAAAGUUAAUAUUCCAGGCAGAUGUUAAAAAUGCAAAGCAUGUAAUCUUCCAAAUGCUGACUACAGAAAGACAC